rnacentral:rRNA from 1 species
UACGGGGGGAGCAAGCAUUGUUCGGAUUUACUGGGCGUAAAGGGCGCGUAGGCGGCGUGACAAGUCACUUGUGAAAUCUCCGGGCUUAACCCGGAGCGGCCAAGUGAUAUUGUCGUGCUAGAGUGCGGAAGGGGCUACUGGAAUUCUCGGUGUAGCGGUGAAAUGCGUAGAUAUCGAGAGGAACACCUGCGGCGAAGGCGGGUAGCUGGGCCGACACUGACGCUGAGGCGCGAAAGCCAGGGGAGCGAACGGG